GAUCAAAGUGUAGUAUCUGUUUUUAUCAGCUUAAUAUUUGAUACGUUCCUCAUCGAGGAACUUCGAUAUUAAACUGAUUUUUGGAACUGGAUCAAGACUCAGGGGCUUGCUCCGGCUUGACCGAGGCUUGGC
rnacentral:snRNA from 1 species